rnacentral:lncRNA from 1 species
AGCCCUAUAAAUGGGAUUAGUGCCCUUCUAAAAGCAGGGUGGGAGCGGGUGUGGGGGACGUGGGGGAAAACUCCCUUGCCCGUUGCACCAUGUGGAGACACAGCCAGGAGGUACUGUCUGUGCAGAAGGGACCCUCAUCAGACCUGGAAUCUGCCAGUGGGCUUCCCAGCCUCCAGAACUGGGAGAAACAAAUUCCUGUUGCUUAUAAGCCACCCAGCCUAUGUUGUUUUGUUACAGCAGCCCGAGGGGACUAAGACGGGUACUGUGUCCUAGAUUAGCUCAUUUAAUAUUCACUAUGAUCUAUGAAGCAGGCACUACUCUUCAUCAUUCAUGAACGAUUAUUUCCCGCUGAGAAAACUGAGGCACAGAGCAGUCAGUCGCCUAACUCACGGCCCCUGUGAGAGGGUCGCCAAGAUUCUGGAAUCCGGGCAGUCUGGCUCCAGAGUCCGUGCUCUUAGUGUCCAGCUAUACACUUGAAGAAGUGAAAACUGCAGCUCUUUUCGGACAGUGAUCCCCUCGAAAAACAAACAAAAAACUGAAGCCCAGCGGCUGGAGCAAGGGGCCUGGAAAGGCGUUGAGCGAGGGCCGGGGCGCGAGGGCUCCGGGGCGGGCCGGCGGGGACUGCCUCUCCCGCUGGUCACCUGGGGUUGAACUGGAAUUGUUCAAUAGAGGCCUCGAGGCCCUCCAUGAUCUUCCGGCCCUCCUCUGUCUCAGGCGAGUCGCCCCAGUUCGCCAUUGCAGCCCCGGACGUGCGCCUCCCGCGGAGCCGCUCGCUCUCCUGAGUCGGAGUCGGGAACCCGGCGUCCGUUGCCAUGGCGACUCCCAGGGAAAGUCUCCAUGGUAAAUGAAGGAAGCUCCAGUGCUGCCCCCAGCUGGACUCUGAGAACGCUGGCAGUUGGGGUCCUAUCACACAAGUAAGAGAUUGGAAGUCUCCUCGCUAUCAAGGUUGAAAAGACCCAGAGAAAAGACCCAAAGACACCAACACUGAAGGUCUCCCAGUGAAAUGGCCCAGUUAGGCCACAGCAUCAUGAGGCUCACAGUUGGCUUUCUUCACCUCCAGCAGAAUACAAAAUCAUCUUUUUAGUUUCCAAUUCUUAAAUAUAAACAGAUUGCAAAGAAUCACUGGAUAUUUGAGAAAAGCCUAAAACACGAUGGACAGAAGAGGAACCAGCACCAAGGAAAACAGAAGAAAAAAUAACUUGGAAGAAACAGAGACUAUGCACAAUAUAAAAACUUGAAAAACGUCAUCAUUAAUCAUUAGUAAUACUCUCAGACCGUUAAGAGAAGACGUAUCACUGGCCUGUGCUUUGGGAUCUGGAGAUAAUACUUAGCAUCAGCUGGGUGUGGUGGCUCAUGCCUGUAAUCCCAGCACUUUGGGAAGCCGAGGCAGGCAGAUCACCUGAGGUCAGGAGUUCAAGGCCAGCCUGACCAACAUGGGGAAACCCUGUCUCUACUAAAAAACAGACAAACAAACAAACAAAAAAACACAAAAAUUAACCGGGCGUGAUGGCGCAUGCCUGUAAUCCCAGCUACUUGGGAGGCUGAGACAGGAGAAUUGCUUGAACCCAGGAGGCAGAGGUUGCCGUGAGCCAAGAUCAUGCCAUUGCACUCCAGCCUGGGCAACAAGAGCAAAACUCUGUCUCAAAAAAGAGAAGAAAAGAAAAGAAAAACUUAGCAUCACCUGUUUUAGCCCCACCAGCACAGAAGGGCCAGUGGCACUUCUGUGAUCAUUCAGUUCAUUGAUUCAAUUCGAGAUCAUUCAAUUCAUUGAUUUAACCAAUAUUUACACACUAGGAACCCAGCAAUGACAAGGCAGAUGGAGCUCAUCAUUUAGACUAACAAUCCCUUUCCAUCUUCUCACAUAGAAGAUGUGAGAGCAUCUCACAGCACAGAGCAUUUAUCAGAUCUUCUAAAACACCAUGGCUGUAAUCUCCCUCUUAAAAAUGCAUAUUGCAUGUUCCAUGUUAAAGGCUCUGAGAAAUCCUGCUGUUGAAAAUAAUUAUAAGUAUAUGUAAUCUCCAGUGCUUCCUUUUUUAAAAGCGUAGAACUUUUUUUCCCCUACAGGAUGCCUACUGAGAUCCUUAGAAUAUGGUUUGAGAAGGACCAGCCUAGUGAAAAGAGAAGUUGGGGCCAACGGUGAGAGCACAGUAGGAAGGCUUAAAGGUUUAUGAGCCAGCUCCUUCUGCCUAGGCCGUGCCCAUCAGUUAAGUUCCCGUGACUCAACACCACCAGACUGUGCAGGCCUGAAGGUGGAGUGUCAGAAAAGUCCUCAGGGCAAGCUGAAAUGAGAGUGCCCGCAGGGAGAGUAAAUUAAAUGCUCUGAAGCAUGGCAGACAGAGGCUGAGCUGGUGCAAGGGUGGGCCCUCAGCAUACCCACCAUUGAGGGAAAACCUUACACAGCAGUACUAGAAUCGGUGCUUCCAAUAGGGACUCUUUUUUGGAAAUAACUUUGAAAAUCCUCUUUGCUCCUGCUACAACCCAGAGCUCAGGUCUGGCCCUGGCACGUCUCAGCUCUAUGAGCUAUACAAGUUGACUACCUGCCCUUAGAAUGCAGUAUAUGCAAAAAACACUUUGUAAACUCCAAAGUGCUAUGUAGGUGUGAGUUACUGUUAUCAUCGAUGCAAAUGUGCUGGCCUUAAGUCCCACCCAUUCCCUGUGGGGGGUGAUCCCCAGGGUCAAGUGUCUGGAGGUCCUGGUAAAAUUAGAAUUCAGUCUAAGUUUUUCUUCCUAUAUUUUCUGCUUAAUAACUUGGUUCUACUCUAGGACUCAGCACCUCUCUGAGCCCCCUAUUACUGGGGAUCUUCCAAACAUGAACAACUGUCCCCAUGCUAACCACCACCAUUCAGGCUCAGCCAUUUGCUCUCCUCUCUUGCCUUUUCUUUCUUCCAAUCAUUCUUUUUAAAAAUUAUUUUUAUGAUUUUUUAUUUUUGUGGAGAUGGGGUCUUGCUUUGUUGCCCCACUGUUGAACUCCUGGGUUCAAGUGAUCCUCCUGCCUCAGCCUCCCAAGGUGCUGGAAUUACGGUCGCGGAUCCACCACACCUGGCCUCUUCCAGUGAUUCUUACUUCAACAUGCUACACAUCACUUCCAGACUGGCCCACCCUUUUUCCCAUGAGUCUUUCUAAUGUAUAGCCUUUCAUCCGGUACACAGGAUGAAGCCCAAUCCCCUUGAGCUAGUGUCUAAAGUCCUCCUAGGACAAUCCCUUACUAACUCCUUGUGGAGAAGAGUUUAAUGCACCAGUUCUGAGACUGCUACCCUUAGAAAGGCUUGCUUGCAAGGUUGGCCCUUGGCUGGCACCAGGAAACCUGGAUUUGGGAAGGGCUCCUGCCGUUCCCUAUCUGAGAAGUGGUGCUCAAUAUGCUUAAACUGUGCAAUCAGUGUGGUUCCUGCUGAACACCUGCUUUCCCUCCUGGAGUCUGGAAUUUCUGUACUGCUAGAAAGUGGGUCCCUAGGUGACAAGCUCUCAAUAAAAAUCUUGAACAUUGAGUCACUAAUGAGACUGGUACUGGUAGACAACACUUCAUAGGUGUUGUCAUAAUUUGCUGCUGUAGGAAUUAACUACAUCCUGGUAACUUCCAAGAGGACUCUUGGAAGCUUGUGUCUGGUUUCCUCCUGACUUUGCCCCAUGCAUUUUGCUGAUUUUGUUUUGCAUGCUUUUGCUGGAAUGGAUCACAGCUGUGAGUAUGACUGUUUUCUGAGUCUUGUGAAUCCUUCUAGAAAGUCAUCAAUUCUAGAGAUGGUCUUGGGGGCCCCUGACACAUCUCUUGGUUUUUUCUUUUUGUGUUCCUCUCCACAGACUCUGCCCUCCUACUAAUCUGGUUCAUUCCAAAACUCCUUGCGCAUGCCUGGCCCUGUAGCUCACACAACCUCCCUGCCUAAAGUGACCCAGCUCUCUCAGACCCAAAGGCUCCCUUCUUUCAAAGCUUUUAUCGAGUCCUACCUCCUCCACUGCUAUGGUUUGAAAGUUUGUCCCCUCCAAAAGUCAUGUUAAAACGUAAAUCCCAUUAUUGAGAGGUGGGGCCUUUUAGAGAUGAUUGGGUCAUAAAGGCUCUGGUCAUAAAAAUGGAUUAAUAGAUUAGAGGGUUCAUGAAUUAAUAGGUUAUCAGAGGAGAGGCACUAGUGGCUUUAUAAGAAGAAGAAGGGGGAAUUGAGCAAGCACGCUCAGCCUCCUCAUCAUUUGAUGUCCUGCAUCUCCCUGGGGCUCUGCAGGAAGUCCCCCUGCCACAAGCAUGAAGGUCCUCACCAGAUGCAGUCCCUCAACCUUGAACUUCCCAGUCUUCACAACUGUAAGAAAUAAAUUAAUAAAUUCCUUUUCUUUAUAA